UGCUUGACUUCAGCAAGUGGAUGCGCCCCCUCCAACUGAAUCAUCCCGGAACAUCAAAGGUCUCAGUUUUUACCUCUGUGGGUAAGGAAAGAAGAGAUUAAUGGCGCUGUCAUUGGGAUGUCAUGUGGUUGGAAUCACACAGCACGAUGCCUUUCCAGGUUGGUUUCUUUCAUGAGUAAAAUGCAUAUAACACUCUCUACGUGCCGUCUCAUCCCGUGGGGGUUCGUGUGUUUCGUGUGAGCUGAUGAUGUUCCAUUUUCUAUAUGUGCCAUGGUUGAUGGCAUGGGAAGGAAAUCUUGGUGGCUGGGAAUUAUGAGCAAGGCUGUCAUAAACACAGUGUGGGUUUGUGUGAGUGCAAGUUUCCUGUUCAGUGUGUUCCAUAGACGAGCAUCUUCCAUCCAUGGUAGGAAUAAUUAGUUAUGGCAGACUGUGCUGGACCUGCCUCUGCAGAUUCAUCAGUCUCAAAAAAACAUUCUACUUUGCUGGGGCAUUCUGGGCUUUUGUCUUUCUGAACAAAUUUUAGGAUAAGUGAAUCAAUAUUCACAGAAAUGACUUGCUGAUAUUUUAAUUGGAAUGCACUGAAUCUCUAAGUUAAGUUGGAAAAAAGUUGAUAUUUAUGAGAUUGGCUCUUCCUGUCCAUGAACAUGGGAAAGCUCUUCUUCUCAAGUUAUCUUAUCUCAUGAUAAACCUCACUUUAUUAAUGAGUCUUUUCAUUUUAUUCAUAUAGACCCAUACAAUUUGUUCAUUCCAUGCCUAAAUAUUUCUAUAUUGUGGUGCUAAAAUAAGUAAUCUUAGCUUUUAUUUGCCUUGUUUACGGUGUCGUUUUCUACCACACGUGAUGUAAACAUUUGUCUGUCAAUCUGACCCUGGCUGAUAGGGAAGAAAUCACAAGUAGUGGGAGGUGCUGCCUUUAUUACCUUCCAUUGGGCCAUCUUCACACAUCCCUCAGUGGAAAGGCCUGGUUACUACCAGUCAGAGCAGAGUGGUAUGAGGCCUAGGUGCUGGCAAAUCAUUUUUGUUCCCUGAGGUCCACGGUUAAGGGAGAUUUAUUCUUUUUUUUUUUUUUUUUUGGAGGGGGGAAAAUUUAUUCUGUAAGAAAAGGGAGCUCUGGUCUCUGGAGUUUUGUGUGGUGUGGUAAGCACCAGUGAAUUAACAAGAGAAGAAAGAUGUAGAAGAAGGAAGGCAUGUUUGGGCCCAUGAUGAGUACCACGGGGUAUCUGAAACCAGGAUAUUGUGAUUAAACCCGUGUACGACUCUGAGGUCCUUUAGAAGUAGCCCUUUUGUAGGGAAUAAGUGCCCGGUGCCAUGUCCUUGGCUUUUGUUUUGGAAAUACAUUGACUUUUUUCUUCUACACCAGCGUUGGGGCCAGGCGGCAGAUAGGGCGCAUAAGCUAUGUACAUUCUCAGCUUGGUUUUUAACUUUUAUUUUGAAAUUAGUUUAUGAAUUUUUAAAGAGUAAGAAUAACAAAGAGGACAAGUUGUAAAAUUAUUACAAAGGAACGUAAUGAGAGAUGGAUUAUUAAUUACAUCUAACCAACAGUAAAGGCUCUUAGCAUUGUUCAAGGGUAUGUGGUCAUUUGUAUGUAAAAGUGUUUGCCAUAUAUUGGAUAGUUCCUUUAGAGAAGUGACACCAUUCAUUGGUGUAAAAAAUUGUUAAAUGUCCACAUAGUUGCCAAAUGAGCAGAGACCAAUGAUAAGAAUGUUAAUUUAAAACCUUCAGGUUUUGGUUUUUUUUUUUUGUUGGUUUGUUUUUUGGUUUUCUUAAUAAAAGUAUAAAAAAAACCAAGCCUGCCAUUAUUGUGGGCAGUGGCAAUAGCCAGAUGAAAAUAUUUUUUAUACCCCAGGGCCACACCUGUAUCUAUGGUGCCUGUUGAGAGAGAUCUGCGAGUCAACACCUCUGGUAAAGCCUGGCUGUAACUCUGUUAUUCAGUGAGGGAAGGACCAUGCUUUGUGGAGAAACUGUGCGCAGAAGUUAGGGGAAACUCAGUCAAACCACCCUCGGAAUUUUGUGAUCCAGCAAUGUGAAGUGUGUUAUUUCAAGAGAAUCAACAUGUACGUGGGAAGUAGAGACAGUAAAGAAAGACACAAAACAGAAGAGAGGCGCACCUAUGUGUACAGCAAGCCGUCUAAUAAGCCAAGAAUAAGUAAUGCUAUUGCUUGCUAAACAGCAAGAUCAGCUGUUAAUUGGGGCAAAGCUGAAUGGUGUCUGUAGCCCUCUUGCAUACUGAGCGUAUUAGUAGCUGCAAUCGAGAGAGCUGCUUGGGUGUUUACUGUUCAUUUGGAAAGGCGAAAGCACAGCAGCCAACAGUUUGUUAAAUACCCCCUGAUUAACAGAUGUUUCUAAUUACCGGAGAACUUAUUCUUGGGCAUGGUUCCUUACAUGUUUACAAGGUUAAACGUCCAUGUUUACAAUAUUCAACAUCCCAAGUUCUAUAUUAAAUCUCAAGUUUAUUUUUAUGUAGUUCUGCUUGACCCAUCACAUUAUAAAUGCAUUCUAAUUCUCCUUUUCCCUCCUGUGGUGAAUGUAGGACCCCUGAUUUAAUUCUUUAAUAUGGAAUCGUUGUCCUGAGUAAGGAGCAUAGAUGAGAAUAAAGAAUGAGCACAGCUGGUGUGGCUUCGUGACUACCUUCUGGGGAAGAUCUUGCCUGUUUGCCUCUGGAAAAGAUUGCUCAUCCCUCAGAAGCAAUGGCUUUGGUCUGCUUUAAGCACUGGACCCUGCUCACAAACCCUACACUUUUUCUCAGGAAUUUACAAGAAGACCCCAAAACCUGUGUGAGUAAUAUUUAAAUGUAUUGUUUUUCUCAAUGGGAUACUCUGUGUUAUUAUAGAGUAUCAGUGAUAUCUGAGCAAAAGAUCUGGUUGUUCUGAAGAAGAAAACAAAGCCAUAGGCACACAUUACUAGAGAAGAAGACGGCUAACACGGACCGAUGAUGACAAGGGUCAGCACUAUAAGUCACUGACGAUGACGACAAUUUUUCUGUCUGAGGUUCACAAAACAACACAUCUCAGGUACUCCCUCCGCUAGCCAGGGGAUGGAAUUUAGGCCUGUGGAGCAUGUACUGUGCAUUAGAAUCAGGCACUUUUAUGCAUGUUCUUUUCUCAGUGGAUCAAUGAAACAAGAUACAAAUAUAUACACAAAGGCAAAUGUAAAUGAACAUUUUGAGACAUUUAUCAAUUAGAAAAUAUUUGACUACAAAUUCUGCUACGACAUGUAGAAAACACAGAAGCCUGUUAAGAUUAAUUGGCAUAAAGAUUAUAUAAAAUCUAUCCAAGUUCACAUAUGAAGUAUAAUUAAUAGAUUAAGCCCCAGUAUGGGUUAACACCUUAAUUCUAAUUUUGAGUCUUACUUGAUUUCUCAAGAUAACAUCCUUACAACCUGAAUCCUAAAUAACAAAUAUUGAAAGGAGAAAUGUAGACAUAACCUUUUUAUUUUUUUUUCCUGCUUUGUUCCCUCUGAUGGAUGAUGACUGACCCAUUGUCUCCUGGCUGCGAGGUCCAUGGUUUUCCUAGCCUCAAGUUUAAAGAUCAAGGGAACUGAUGAGCUCAUGAAGACAGGAUGCCUGAAGAUUCCACAGGAAGUAAACUGCUAAGAGCCUUCUUUGUAUUGUCAGAGCAAUGUCCAGUGUUUCUGUCCUUAGUAGAUCAUAUGACAGUGUCAUACAUACUUAGAAUGGAUUCCGCCCCCACGCGGAUUUUCACUCUCCCUCGCUCAUCAGCUUCAUAAUGAGCUGUUUUAGACUGUAAUGCAGACAGUAAUGGAUACCCUACAAGCUGAUUUUAUACAGUCUGACUUGAAACGGAACCUUGUGAUCCAGCCUCUGUGUUCACAGGAAAGACACCGUAAUGGCUGCCCUAAGCUGAUGUAUAAAUUCUUCCUUGCUUGUGAGAUUCCUGCUCUAAUCCUUGUAGCCCUAAGAUAGACACAUUUGCAUGUAGUCAGUGUUCAUGCCUCCAACUUGGUACUUUUAAGGACUACGCACACUAUUGUUGAAAUACUAUUCGUCCUCUGGAAGACCAACUAUGUCCAAACGAAUGGAGCCACCAGGCUGAUCUUUGGUUAUGAGCAAUAUAGACAAAGUGAUGGAUUUCUCCCCAAAGGUGAUUUACACCUUCUUUGGUGGCGAUCUUCAUGGUCAGCGCUUUGGGUUCAUAAUAUAGACACAGUAACAGAUACCCCAAAGCUGAUUUUAGACAUUCGUCCUCUGUCACCAGCUUCUUGAUCCGCUAUUUGUGUUCGUAGCAAAGAUACAGUGAUGGAUUUCCACCCACCUUCUGCUUUCAUUAUGAUCUUAAUGGUCAGUAAUAGACACAGUAAUGGAUGUCAUUGAGCUGAUUUUACAUUCUCCCUCGGUCAUGAGUUUUGUGAUCAACUCUAUUGAGUAGCAAUAUUGUCACAGUAGAUGAAUACCCUCCAGCUGACUUCCACAUUCAUCCUUCGUUAUGAGGCCCAUGAUCUGAUCUCUGUUCAUAUGAUAGAUGCUGUAAUAGAUGCCUUCAUCACUGGUCACCGGGUUCAUGCAUCAUAGGGACCCACCAUAGAUGCUUUCUGACUGAUGUUCACAUUCUGGUCAACGAGUCCACAGUUACCCUACAUGUCAGGAAGACAGAUACCAAUAAAGGCCAACUCCAGAACAAUGGGUGGAUCCCUCCUGGUCCUCACCUCCAAGGUUGUCUGUGUUGUUAGGGUCAUGGCUACAACCGGAUCAGGGAACCCUAUGGAAGAGGAGGUGCAAAGAUUGUAAGGACCAAUGAGAAUGGAGGACACCAAGGAAACGAGGCCUUCUAGAUACAGCAGGACCGAUGCAGAUCUGAACUCAUAGAGACCGUGACAGUGUGCAUGCGCCCUGCACAGGUCUAAGCCAGAUGGGGUCCCAGCACUGAGAGAGUCAGUGGACACAAGCUCCCAUCCCUAACUAAGAAGCUAUCUCCAAUCGAUAGACUCGCUCAGAGGAAAAACACUUUUUCUCCUAUGGAAUCUCACUGGAUAUAUAGACUUCUCCUAAGAGCAGGCUCCAUGCUCAGAUGGCCAAAACAAAAUGAACUCAAUGGCAUUUUUGGAAGAUCUUGUGACACAUAAUGCUUUGUCUGGGUAUUUUUUCUUACCCUACAGACAUUUUGCUUUUAUAUUGUGGUUUCUGAUAUUACUUUUUAUGAGUUUUCUAUGUCUGUGAUUGUAUGUGUCUCAGAGCCUGUAUUUUUUUCUGGUGAUUUUACAUAGGCUCUUUUUAUUGCUUAUUCUGUUUUGUUUGCAUUUAUAUUUCCUCCUUAGUUUAGAUGCGUAGUUUCACUGUAAUGAGAGAAUAGAAUAAUUAGUGUGAAUUUGGGUGGGUGUGGAAAUACUGAGGAGAUGGGAGGUGUUGGGGGGACAGGAAACCAUAAUACAAAUAGUGUAUUGUCAAUAAAAAGCAUUUCCUCUAUCACAA